rnacentral:rRNA from 1 species
UGCAUGUCUGAGUACAGACCGAUCUAAGGUGAAACCGCGAAUGGCUCAUUAAAUCAGUCGUAAUUUCUUGGAUAGUGAAAAACUUUCCUCGGAUAACUGUGGAAAAUCCAGAGCUAAUACGUGCAACUGAGCUCCGACCUGGGCGCRAGCCUUGGGAAGAGCGCAUUUAUUAGAUUCAAAACUGACCGGCGUACUCCUUCGGGAUACGUCGUUCGUCAAAUGUUUGAUGACUCCGGAUAACUUAGCCGAGCGCUACGGUCUUUAGUACCGGCGCCGUAUCUUUCAAGUGUCUGCCUUAUCAGCUUUCGAUUGUAGGUUAAACGCCUACAAUGGCUGUAACGGGUAACGGGGAAUCAGGGUUCGAUUCCGGAGAGGGAGCCUGAGAAACGGCUACCACAUCUAAGGAAGGCAGCAGGCACGCAAAUUACCCACUCCCAGCCCGGGGAGGUAGUGACGAAAAAUAACGAUGCGAGACUCUUCCGAGGCCUCGCAAUCGGAAUGAGUCCAUCCUAAAUCUUUGGACGAGGAUCCAUUGGAGGGCAAGUCUGGUGCCAGCAGCCGCGGUAAUUCCAGCUCCAAUAGCGUAUAUUAAAGUUGCUGCGGUUAAAAAGCUCGUAGUUGGACUUUCUAGAUCCAUUUCGUGGGUGGGUCGCUCGUUGUACUGGCGAUUCGCGCCAGUCACUGGUCGACGUCGUGCGGAGAGUCGUACUUYUACUAAGUUGGCUUUACGGCUUUCGAUAGGGGAGACUUCCCUCUCUC